GAAGCGUGGUGGUUAGCGCGCUGAGCUCUGGAGCCAAAGGCCGUGGACUCGAACCCGACCAUCCCC
rnacentral:tRNA from 14 species